rnacentral:lncRNA from 1 species
GGGAAGGGAAGGGAGAGGAUUUGGGCACUAGGCUGAGACCCCAUCUGGCUCUCUCUUCAGCCAUGAUGAAGUAAACUCCUGUCUGACAGCUUUGCCUUACUUCCCACCACUGGCCCAGUCCUUGUCUCCCCCACUAGCCCCCAAUCCUACUGUGCCAGCUCCUCCCAUCCUCCAUUAUUUGCACCUGGCUUGCUCCAGGAUCCUCAGUUUGAGGUUCUUUUUGGCGACUGGAACUUUGAAGGGACUCACAGAGUUGUUGAGGCAAAGUGAGGGCAUUCUGGGUGGCCAGGGGGCUGGGAAAUACAUCCAUUAUGGUGUCCAGGCAGCAAAGUCUGAGUGGUGGCCACUCUCAGUAGUCCAGCUGUUGUCCUUGCCACCUCCAUCCAGUGGCUCCUCAGUAUCCUUAAGCCACCAGAUUGUCUGCUUUUGUACAGGUGAUGCCUUCAGGGAGAUCUGUACCUUCGGGACCUUCCCAGCAUGUCUGCUGUUCUAAAUGAUAAUAAAUAAUAAGACCUAAUAAUAAUAAUAAUAAUAAUAAUAAUUAUUAUUAUUAUUAUUAUCGUUAUUGUUACUGUUUGAGGAGGGCUUGCACUGUGUAACACAAGCUGGUCUCAAACUCAUCAUCUCCCUGCCUGAGUCUUCAAAAUGUUAGAUUAAAGGAUGUCCCACAAUGCUGAGCAAAUGUUUCCAGUAUCAACAAGACCAAAGAAGCUUUGUAAAGUUGCUAUGUUAGAAGGCUGGAUAAAAUACUUGUUUUCUUAAAUUUGGUGUGUGUGUGUGUGUGUGUGUGUGUGUGUGUGUGUGUGUGUGUGUGUAAAAAGAAGGGGAACUCCAUGGGGAGUGGAAUUAAUCUAACUAGUGGGCAGAGGAACCAAGAAUAAUUGGAGAGGAGAGAGGACAAAUAUCACAUAUUUCCCUCUAUUUGUUGAAUCUGAAUUUAAUAAGUGCCAGAGGAGGGUAAUGUUGAGGAGGAAUGACGGCAAAAAUGAUCAAAGUACAGUGAUUAUAUAUGUAUAUAUGAAGAUGCCAUAAUAAAGCCCUUUAAGACAUCCAUAGAAAUCCAAACAUUUAUAGCCAGGUGUGGUGGCAAAUAUCUUUGAGCUCAGCACUUAGGAGGUAGAGACAGGUGGAUUUCUGUGAGCUCAAGGUCAGCCUGGUCUACAUAGCAAGUUUCAAGACAGUCAUUGCUACAUAAUAGAGAGACCCUGUUUCAAAAAUCCCGUAAGUAAAUAAAAAUUUAUAAAAUUAAGUUUAUCAUCUCAUGUAUCUUCUGAGAAUCAGAACUCAGGAGGGGCUUAGCUGGGUAGUUGUGGCUUUUACAAGGUUACUGUUAGGCUGUCAAUCACAGCUAUGAUGUAUGAAGAAUGACAGGUGAAGCUAUACUUCCUGGUUCCUUCAAAUGGUUCCUAGUUUCUGUUUUUCUGUCUGUCAAGGCCUUUCCUGAGGCUGGUUACAAUUUAGGGGUCCUCAGAAAAGAACAGUUGAAAAGAGAAUGACAGAACAAGAGGGAGGGACAACAACUUGUCCUUUUGAAUAAGCCAAUGCGAUGUGCCAUGUCAUCAGGUCUGCAUGUCUGUCAGUCAUACACACUAACCUUGGCACUGUGCAAGAGGACUGUGUGAACACCAGGAGGCAGAGAUAACCAGCUGAGCACAUUUUAUUCUCUCUCUCAGACUUUUCAGUAACUCUACUCAGGGCAUCUGUGUUGAAGGAUGAGGCAGACAUUUCCUGCUGGGUACAGCAGCCUCACUCUCUCUGCUUACCCAGGACCAGCAGGCUAAGUCACUGAAUAUAAAAUAUGACACAUUACAUAUCCAGACACGGAUGAAAAGAGCUACAGAUCCACAAGAUGUUGGUUGCUUUUAAAGUCUUCACAGAUCACUGGGCUAGGAAUACCUCUAGUGAACGAAAAAAC